rnacentral:tRNA from 1 species
GGGCCUUUAGCUCAGACGGUUAGAGCGUACCCCUGAUAAGGGUAAGGUCGGUGGUUCGAAUCCACCAAGGCCCA